rnacentral:rRNA from 1 species
AACGAACGCUGGCGGCAGGCUUAACACAUGCAAGUCGAGCGCCCCGCAAGGGGAGCGGCAGACGGGUGAGUAACGCGUGGGAACGUACCCUUUGCUACGGAAUAGCUCCGGGAAACUGGAAUUAAUACCGUAUGUGCCCUACGGGGGAAAGAUUUAUCGGCAAAGGAUCGGCCCGCGUUGGAUUAGCUAGUUGGUGGGGUAAUGGCCUACCAAGGCGACGAUCCAUAGCUGGUCUGAGAGGAGGAUCAGCCACAUUGGGACUGAGAAACGGCCCAAACUCCAACGGGAGGCAGCAGUGGUGAAUAUUGGACAAUGGGCGCAAGCCUGAUCCAGCCAUGCCGCGUGAGUGAUGAAGGCCUUAGGGUUGUAAAGCUCUUUCACCGGAGAAGAUAAUGACGGUAUCCGGAGAAGAAGCCCCGGCUAACUUCGUGCCAGCCGCCGCCGUAAAAC